rnacentral:rRNA from 1 species
AGGACGAACGCUGGCGGCGCGCUUAACACAUGCAAGUCGAGCGAGAACCAGGCCUUCGGGCUUGGGGAAAGCGGCGAACGGGUGAGUAACACGUGGGCAACCCACCCUUGGUACCGGGAUAGCCCGAGGAAACUCGGAUUAAUACCGGAUGGCCCAACAGCUCUUCGGGGCGGUUGGAAAAGGUAGCUUCGGCCUCCGACCAAGGACGGGCCCGCGGCGGAUUAGCUUGUUGGUGAGGUAACGGCUCACCAAGGCGACGAUCCGUAGCUGGUCUGAGAGGACGAUCAGCCACACUGGGACUGAGACACGGCCCAGACUCCUACGGGAGGCAGCAGUGGGGAAUCUUGCGCAAUGGGCGAAAGCCUGACGCAGCGACGCCGCGUGGGGGAAGAAGGCUUUCGGGUUGUAAACCCCUUUCAGGAGAGACGAAGCUACUCGGGUUAAUAGCCCAGAGGGUGACGGUAUCUUCAGAAGAAGCCCCGGCUAACUACGUGCCAGCAGCCGC